rnacentral:rRNA from 1 species
UACGUAGGGUGCAAGCGUUUAAUCGGAAUUACUGGGCGUAAAGCGUGCGCAGGCGGUUUUGUAAGUCUGUCGUGAAAGCCCCGGGCUCAACCUGGGAAUUGCGAUGGAGACUGCAAGGCUUGAAUCUGGCAGAGGGGGGGUAGAAUUCCACGUGUAGCAGUGAAAUGCGUAGAGAUGUGGAGGAACACCGAUGGCGAAGGCAGCCCCCUGGGUCAAGAUUGACGCUCAUGCACGAAAGACGUGGGGAGCAAACAGG